CUUGCGAGUUGAGAAGUUUUGCUUGCGAACAAGGCUGUAUCUUAGUGGGCGGUCUCUAGACUCCAGGAUGAAAGACCUCUUAUUGGUCACUUUCAAUCGAAGUGCCACGCCCACUAGCCUCCUCCUUCAUGGCCGCCAGAGCGGUGUAGCGGUAUGAAGAGCAACACGUCAUUUGCAAGGGUGCACCACUUCAGCUUCAAGGGAAUGACUGUGGAAUAUUCAUGUUAAUGUACGCCAUGUAUGUGACCCUUGGAAAGCCCUUCGAUUUUUCGACAUUAGACAUGCCUGAAUCAGGAGGUGGUGGUGUCAUCAGUUACUACAGGCAUUUCCUCUGGCAAGCCAACAGUCAGUCACCAAACCAAUGAUCCAACUGGAUCUAAACGUUAUGGAGGUCACCCCAUCUGUGCCAGACAUCAUGGAGAUCACCCCAGCUAUGAGAAUCCAUAAAGGACUAGGCUGUGAUGAAACAGAUUCUGCUCACUGUGACUGGGUGAAGGAGUACCGAACCCACUUUGCUGGGAAAGUUCACCUACCACAGGUCACAAGAAUGAACGAGGAUGAUCAUUGACCAAUAACUGUCUGUCUGUCUGUCUAAAAAAAAUAA